AGUGAACGCUGGCGGUAGGCCUAACACAUGCAAGUCGAACGGCAGCACAGGAGAGCUUGCUCUCUGGGUGGCGAGUGGCGGACGGGUGAGGAAUACAUCGGAAUCUACUUUUUCGUGGGGGAUAACGUAGGGAAACUUACGCUAAUACCGCAUACGACCUACGGGUGAAAGCAGGGGACCUUCGGGCCUUGCGCGAUUGAAUGAGCCGAUGUCGGAUUAGCUAGUUGGCGGGGUAAAGGCCCACCAAGGCGACGAUCCGUAGCUGGUCUGAGAGGAUGAUCAGCCACACUGGAACUGAGCCACGGGCCAGACUCCUACGGGAGGCAGCAGUGGGGAAUAUUGGACAAUGGGCGCAAGCCUGAUCCAGCCAUACCGCGUGGGUGAAGAAGGCCUUCGGGUUGUAAAGCCCUUUUGUUGGGAAAGAAAUCCAGCUGGCUAAUACCCGGUUGGGAUGACGGUACCCAAAGAAUAAGCACCGGCUAACUUCGUGCCAGCCGCCGCGGUAA
rnacentral:rRNA from 1 species